UUGUCGUCAGCUCGUGUCGUGAGAUGUUGGGUUAAGUCCCGCAACGAGCGCAACCCCUAUUGUUAGUUGCCAUCAUUCAGUUGGGCACUCUAGCGAGACUGCCGGUAAUAAACCGGAGGAAGGUGGGGAUGACGUCAAAUCAUCAUGCCCCUUAUGACCUGGGCUACACACGUGCUACAAUGGCUGGUACAACGAGUCGCAAGUCGGUGACGGCAAGCUAAUCUCUUAAAGCCAGUCUCAGUUCGGAUUGUAGGCUGCAACUCGCCUACAUGAAGUCGGAAUCGCUAGUAAUCGCGGAUCAGCACGCCGCGGUGAAUACGUUCCCGGGCCUUGUACACACCGCCCGUCACACCACGAGAGUUUGUAACACCCGAAGUCGGUGAGGUAACCUUUUAGGAGCCAGCCGCCUAAGGUGGGAUAGAUGAUUGGGGUGAAGUCGUAACAAGGUAGCCGUAUCGGAAGGUGCGGCUG
rnacentral:rRNA from 1 species